AGGAGCGCAGGAGAGCUAGAGGCAGACUGAGAAGGCCAUCAACAUGAUCAUAAUAAUGGAUCGUCUCCGCUGCUUUAUGAAUAACGCCGACGAAUAAAACUGGUGCCCACACACAGCAGCAAUAUUUUCAUCAGAUUGAUCACCUUCUCAGUCUGCCUCUUGUCCUCCUCAGCCCU
rnacentral:pre_miRNA from 1 species